AUGCUGCCCCGGGACUGCUCGCGGAGGCUGGUGGCCGAGCUGCAGGGCGCCCUGGACGCCUGCGCAGAGCAACAGCUGCAGCUGGAGCAGAGCCUGCGCGUCUGUCGUCGGCUGCUGCAGACCUGGGAACCAACCGAGACCCGGGCUUCGGAGCCACCUCCAGGGCCAGAAACUAAUGAAGAGGACCCGUCUCCAGCAUGCGCACCCAGUCCACAAGACCUCAAAGAGCUGGAAUUUCUGACCCAGGCACUGGAGAAGGCUGUACGGGUUCGAAGAGGCAUCACUAUGGCUGGAGAAACAGACAAGGCCCCCAGCCUGAAAUCUAGGUCCACUGUCGCUCCUCCUGGCGCGAUAGCCUUUGCCCCACCCCAGACCCCAGGCCAAGCUGGUGGCCAUGCUUCAGACACGAGACCCACCAAAGGCUCCUACCAGACCACGGUGCCUCCCAAGGGCCACUCUGAGCGCCAGCUGCUGUCACUGGGGGAUAAGACUCGUGUCAGGACAGGAGCUCGGGCCCCCAGGCCUGGACCGGGCCUCAGGGACCAGCAAAUGGCUCCAUCAGCUGCUCCUAAGGCCCCGAAAGCCUUCACACUCAAAGAGAAGGGGCACCUGCUGCGGCUGCCUGCGGCAUUCAGGAAGGUGGCUUCCCAGAACGCCAGCCUGUGGGCCCAGCUCAGUUCCAUGCAGACCAGUGAUUCCACAGAUGCCACUGCUGCCAAAACCCAGUUCCUCCAGAACAUGCAGACAGCUUCAGGUGGGCCCCAGCCCAGGCUCAGCGUUCAGGGGGUGGAGGCGGAGACAGGGCGCCUUUGGAAGGCCUGCACGCUGCUGAGACUGCGCAUGAGGGAGGAGCUCUCAGCAGCCCCCAUGGACUGGAUGCAAGAGUACCGCUGCCUGCUCACGCUGGAGGGGCUGGCCACGGUGGGCCAGUGUCUGCACAGGCUACAGGAACUGCGUGCAGCGGUAGCAGAACAGCCACCAAGACCAUGUCCUAUGGGGAGGCCCCCCAGAGCCUCGCCAUCCUGUGGGGGUGGAGCAGAUCCUGCAUGGAGCCCCCAGCUGCUUGUCUACUCCAGCGCCCAGGAGCUGCAGACCCUGGCAGCCUUUAGGCUUCGAGUGGCCAUGCUGGACCAGCAGAUCCACUUGGAAAAGGUCCUGAUGACUGAACUCCUCCCUGUGGUAAGGGCCACACAGCUGCAGGGGCCACCCUGGCUGACCUUUUGCCGGGCUGCGCACAGCCUGCUCUGUGAGGGAGGCGCACGUAUCCUCACCGUCCUUAGAGAUGACCCUGUGGACUGAGCCUUUCCUGUGCUGCCCCCGCCCGCCUCCCAGGCCUCAGGACCACUUGGGUGCUGGCCUGCCAGGGAAUGUCCCCUCAGCCCUCUUCAGAAGAGGAUUGGGGAUGUUUU